UGGUAGUUUCUUGGUCAUGUAUUGGACUACCAUGGCAGUCACGGGACGGAGAAUUAGGGUUCGGUUCCGGAGAGGGAGCCUGAGAAACGGCUACCACAUCUAAGGAAGGCAGCAGGCGCGUAAAUUACCCAAUCCUGACUCAGGGAGGUAGUGACAAGGAAUAACGACCCGGGACGGAGCCUCCGUAAUCGGAAUGAGUGAACUCUAAAUCCUUUCGCAAGGAUCAAUUGAAGGGCAAGUCUGGUGCCAGCAGCCGCGGUAACUCCAGCUCCAAUAGCGUAUAUUAAAGUUGUUGCAGUUAAAAAGCUCGUAGUUCAACCUCGGUUGCGGGGUUGAGAGCCAGCUUGGGGGUGCCGGGGCAUUGGUCGGUACCGUGUUCCGCCGCCGGUGUGGACUGCCUGUCGUCGAGAAAAUUAGUGUGGUCAAGGUCGGUGUCUCCUUCUAUCCCUGUCUGGAAUAAUGGAGAAAUACCACAGGCCGUUGUUGGUUGGGUGAGGAGUAAUGAUGAGUGGGGACAGGCGGGGGCAUUAGUAUUUCAUUGUCAAAUAUGAAAUUCCGUCGGCUCGUCAAAGAUUGACUACUGCGAAAGCAUUCUUUUGGAUGUUCUCAUUGGUAAAAGGUAAAAGUUAGGGGAGCGGAGGGGACCAGAUACCGUCCUAACCUUAACAAUAAACCAUACCGACUCGGAUUUAAAAGGGGCAAAGAAGCCGGCGGUGCCAGAAAAGUUUUGGUUUUGAUUUUGGGAGAAAAACUUAGGAUUUAUUUCUGUUUCGUUAUCGGUUCCAAAUCCCCCACCCGGGGGAUUAUAGGAGGAAAACCCGGGGGGGGGCAAACAAAGAAGAGAAAAUAACAGAGACUUUCUUUUUUGUUUUUCGCAAAAAAAAUUUUUUUGGAUCAAGCGCGGUUUUUUUUUUUUUUGUUUUUUUUUUAUUUUGAGUCAUAAAGG
rnacentral:rRNA from 1 species